GACGAACGCUGGCGGCGUGCCUAAUACAUGCAAGUCGAGCGAAGUUUUUCUGGUGCUUGCACCGGAACAACUUAGCGGCGAACGGGUGAGUAACACGUAAAGAACCUGCCUCAUAGACUGGGACAACUAUUGGAAACGAUAGCUAAUACCGGAUAAUAGCAUUAACUGCAUGGUUGAUGUUUAAAAGUUGGUUUUGCUAACACUAUGAGAUGGCUUUGCGGUGCAUUAGCUAGUUGGUGGGGUAAAGGCCUACCAAGGCGACGAUGCAUAGCCGACCUGAGAGGGUGAUCGGCCACACUGGGACUGAGACACGGCCCAGACUCCUACGGGAGGCAGCAGUAGGGAAUCUUCCGCAAUGGGCGAAAGCCUGACGGAGCAACGCCGCGUGAGUGAAGAAGGAUUUCGGUUCGUAAAGCUCUGUUGUUAGGGAAGAAGGAUUGUGUAGUAACUAUACACAGUAGAGACGGUACCUAAACAGAAAGCCACGGCUAACUACGUG
rnacentral:rRNA from 1 species